AUUGAACGCUGGCGGCAGGCCUAACACAUGCAAGUCGAACGAGUGGCGGACGGGUGAGUAAUGUCUGGGAAACUGCCUGAUGGAGGGGGAUAACUACUGGAAACGGUAGCUAAUACCGCAUACCAUCAGAUGUGCCCGGAUGGGAUUGGCUAGUUGGUGGGGUAACGGCUCACCCGGGCGACGAUCCCUAGCUGGUCUGAGAGGCGGACGGGCCACACGGGAACUGAGCAACGGUCCAGACUCCUACGGGAGGCAGAAGUGGGGAAUAGGGCACAAUGGGCGCAAGCCUGAUGCAGCAAUGCCGCGUGUAGAAAGAGGGCCUUCGGGUUGUAAGGUACUUUCAGCGGGGAGGCGUUACCCGCAGAAGAAGCACCGGCUAACUCCGUGCCAGCAGCCGCGGUAAUAC
rnacentral:rRNA from 1 species